GCACACACAGGGCUGUGCCCCCUUCUACACAUGAACUAACUGAGAAGAAACAUCACUUCCCAAUAUAACUGUUACGCUAUAAAUUAACAUUCACGUCAUGGCCAAAUCCUCAUAGCAGUUGUGCUGUACAGAGAAGCUGCUUUCCAGAGCCACGGGGGCACAGCCUGAGCAGUUUGUGGAGAAGGGGACCAAGGCCUCUCAGCCUAUGCUGGGCUCCAGGGCCAGAAAAGCACAAACUGUCUGACUCCAGGAGCUGGGAUUUUAAGAAAAGCUGCCAGCAGUUGCACAGAUACUGAGGAAAAUGGUGGCACGUAAUGACCAGGGCCACUGUGACUGAAUAUGAGAGGAGAGCCUGCAGCAAGGCACCGCAGCAAAAACAAGGCUCCCCCAAACGAGGCUCCAUCUUGAAGAUCUACGAGUGUUCUGGUGGAGAUGCUUCUGCAAAGCCCGGCCCCAUCCUGAAUCUGAGGACAUCAGACGUAGGCCAAAUAUGGAGGACCUCUGAUACAAUCGUGUCCUUUGGGUGCUGAUCUUGCUUGGUGGGCUAUGAGCGGAAGACAAGCCUGAUGUGACACUGGCAUGCCUAAAUUUAAGCUUUGGAAAUUAGGGCAGGCUGCACAUGCCUCCUCUGAAAUACAGCUGCUAGAACUGACUGCUGUUCUCCCUAGUGAAUUCACAGGAUAAAUUGCUAGAGACAAGGGUUUCACUUACUUUACUUCUGUAGAUAGACUAAUGUAUUGAUUUUUUUUUUGCCAUCUUUCUUUUCAAACCCGA
rnacentral:lncRNA from 1 species